rnacentral:rRNA from 1 species
AUUGAACGCUGGCGGCAGGCUUAACACAUGCAAGUCGAACGGUAACAUAAAGAAGCUUGCUUCUUUGAUGACGAGUGGCGGACGGGUGAGUAAUGCUUGGGAAUCUAGCUUAUGGAGGGGGAUAACUACGGGAAACUGUAGCUAAUACCGCGUAAUAUCGAAAGAUUAAAGUGUGGGACCUUCGGGCCACAUGCCAUAAGAUGAGCCCAAGUGGGAUUAGGUAGUUGGUGAGGUAAAGGCUCACCAAGCCGACGAUCUCUAGCUGGUCUGAGAGGAUGACCAGCCACACUGGGACUGAGACACGGCCCAGACUCCUACGGGAGGCAGCAGUGGGGAAUAUUGCGCAAUGGGGGCAACCCUGACGCAGCCAUGCCGCGUGAAUGAAGAAGGCCUUCGGGUUGUAAAGUUCUUUCGGUAGCGAGGAAGGCAUUUAGUUUAAUAGACUAGGUGAUUGACGUUAACUACAGAAGAAGCACCGGCUAACUCCGUGCCAGCAGCCGCGGUAA